GAUCCUGGCUCAGGAUGAACGCUAGCUACAGGCUUAACACAUGCAAGUCGAGGGGAAACGACAGAGGAAGCUUGCUUCCGAUAGGCGUCGACCGGCGCACGGGUGAGUAACGCGUAUCCAACCUGCCCAUCACUUGGGGAUAACCUUGCGAAAGUAAGACUAACACCCAAUGACGUCUCUAGAAGACAUCUGAAAGAGAUUAAAGAUUUAUCGGUGAUGGAUGGGGAUGCGUCUGAUUAGCUUGUUGGCGGGGUAACGGCCCACCAAGGCAACGAUCAGUAGGGGUUCUGAGAGGAAGGUCCCCCACAUUGGAACUGAGACACGGUCCAAACUCCUACGGGAGGCAGCAGUGAGGAAUAUUGGUCAAUGGACGGAAGUCUGAACCAGCCAAGUAGCGUGCAGGAUGACGGCCCUAUGGGUUGUAAACUGCUUUUAUGUGGGAAUAAAGUGAGGGACGUGAGGCUUUUUGCAUGUACCUUAUGAAUAAGGACCGGCUAAUUCCGUG
rnacentral:rRNA from 1 species